UGGGGAAUUUUGCACAAUGGGGGAAACCCUGAUGCAGCGACGCCGCGUGAUUUAGAAGGCCUUCGGGUUGUAAAAAUCUUUUUUACGGGAUGAAAAUGACAGUACCGUAAGAAUAAGGUCCGGCUAAAUACGUGCCAGCAGGCGCGGUAAUACGUAUGGACCGAGCGUUGUCCGGAAUCAUUGGGCGUAAAGGGUACGUAGGCGGCCUAGUAAGUUAGAAGUGAAAUAAUAUAGCUCAACUAUAUAAAGCUUUUAAAACUGCUAGGCUUGAGAGAUGGAAGGGAAAGUGGAAUUCCUAGUGUAGCGGUGAAAUGCGCAGAUAUUAGGAAGAAUACCGGUGGCGAAGGCGACUUUCUGGUCAUCAUCUGACGCUGAGGUACGAAAGCGUGGGUAGCAAACAGG
rnacentral:rRNA from 1 species